rnacentral:rRNA from 1 species
AUAUUCAAAUAGCGGAGGAAAAGAAACUAACAAGGAUUCCCCUAGUAGCGGCGAGCGAAGCGGGAAGAGCUCAAAUUUGUAAUCUGGCGCAAGCCCGAGUUGUAAUCUAUAGAAACGUUUUCCGUGUCGGACCGCGUCCAAGUCCCUUGGAACAGGGUAUCAAAGAGGGUGACAAUCCCGUGCUUGAUGCGACAUCCGUGCUUUGUGAUACGUUUUCUACGAGUCGAGUUGUUUGGGAAUGCAGCUCAAAAUGGGUGGUAAAUUCCAUCUAAGGCUAAAUAUUGGCGAGAGACCGAUAGCGAACAAGUACCGUGAGGGAAAGAUGAAAAGCACUUUGGAAAGAGAGUUAAACAGUAUGUGAAAUUGUUGAAAGGGAAACGAUUGAAGUCAGUCGUGGCCGUUGGAUUCAGCCGGCUCUGCCGGUGUACUUCCUUCGGCCGGGUCAACAUCAGUUCUGAUCGGUGGAUAAUGGCUGGGAGAAGGUAGCACCUCCGGGUGUGUUAUAGCUCCCUGUCGCAUACAUCGGUCGGGACUGAGGAAUGCAGCUCGCCUUUAUGGCCGGGGUUCGCCCACGUUCGAGCUUAGGAUGUUGACGUAAUGGCUUUAAACGACCCGUCUUGAACCACCGGACC